rnacentral:rRNA from 1 species
ACUCCUACGGGAGGCAUCAGUAGGGAAUCUUCCACAAUGGACGAAAGUCUGAUGGAGCAACGCCGCGUGAGUGAAGAAGGGUUUCGGCUCGUAAAACUCUGUUGUUAAAGAAGAACAUAUCUGAGAGUAACUGUUCAGGUAUUGACGGUAUUUAACCAGAAAGCCACGGCUAACUACGUGCCAGCAGCCGCGGUAAUACGUAGGUGGCAAGCGUUGUCCGGAUUUAUUGGGCGUAAAGCGAGCGCAGGCGGUUUUUAAGUCUGAUGUGAAAGCCUUCGGCUCAACCGAAGAAGUGCAUCGGAAACUGGGAAACUUGAGUGCAGAAGAGGACAGUGGAACUCCAUGUGUAGCGGUGAAAUGCGUAGAUAUAUGGAAGAACACCAGUGGCGAAGGCGGCUGUCUGGUCUGUAACUGACGCUGAGGCUCGAAAGUAUGGGUAGCAAACAGGAUUAGAUACCCCUGGUAGGAUAGCG